rnacentral:rRNA from 1 species
GACGAACGCUGGCGGCGUGCUUAACACAUGCAAGUCGAGCGGUAAGGCCCUUUCGGGGGUACGACGAGCGGCGAACGGGUGGGUAACACGUGGGUGACCUGCCCUCAGCUCUGGGAUAAGCCUGGGAAACCGGGUCUAAUACUGGAUAUGACUCCAUGACGCAUGUUGUGGGGUGGAAAGCCUUGUGCGGCUGAGGAUGGGCCCGCGGCCUAUCAGCUUGUUGGUGGGGUGANGGCCUACCAAGGCGACGACGGGUAGCCGGCCUGAGAGGGCGACCGGCCACACUGGGACUGAGACACGGCCCAGACUCCUACGGGAGGCAGCAGUGGGGAAUCUUGCGCAAUGGGCGAAAGCCUGACGCAGCGACGCCGCGUGAGGGAUGACGGCCUGGUU